rnacentral:rRNA from 1 species
GACGAACGCUGGCGGCGUGCUUAACACAUGCAAGUCGAACGGAAAGGCUCCAGCUUGCUGGAGUACUCGAGUGGCGAACGUGUGAGUAACACGUGGGUAAUCUGCCCUGCACUCUGGGAUAAGCCUGGGAAACUGGGUCUAAUACUGGAUAUGACCUUUCUCCUUAUGGGGUUUGGUGGAAAGUUUUUCGGUGUAGGAUGAGCCCGCGGCCUAUCAGCUUGUUGGUGGGGUGAUGGCCUACCAAGGCGACGACGGGUAGCCGGCCUGAGAGGGUGAUCGGCCACAUUGGGACUGAGAUACGGCCCAGACUCCUACGGGAGGCAGCAGUGGGGAAUAUUGCACAAUGGGCGGAAGCCUGAUGCAGCGACGCCGCGUGAGGGAUGACGGCCUUCGGGUUGUAAACCUCUUUCAGCAGGGACGAAGCGUAAGUGACGGUACCUGCAGAAGAAGCACCGGCUAACUAUGUG